rnacentral:rRNA from 1 species
UACGGGGGGGGCAAGCGUUGUUCGGAAUUACUGGGCGUAAAGGGCUCGUAGGCGGCCAACUAAGUCGGAUGUGAAAUCCCCAAGCUUAACUUGGGAACUGCAUCCGAUACUGGAUGGCUUGAAUCCGGGAGAGGGAUGCAGAAUUCCAGGUGUAGCGGUGAAAUGCGUAGAUAUCUGGAGGAACAUCGGUGGCGAAGGCGGCAUCCUGGACCGGUAUUGACGCUGAGGCGCGAAAGCCAGGGGAGCAAACGGG